rnacentral:rRNA from 1 species
GAUGAACGCUGGCGGCGUGCCUAAUACAUGCAAGUCGAGCGAACAGACGAGGAGCUUGCUCCUCUGACGUUAGCGGCGGACGGGUGAGUAACACGUGGAUAACCUACCUAUAAGACUGGGAUAACUUCGGGAAACCGGAGCUAAUACCGGAUAAUAUAUUGAACCGCAUGGUUCAAUAGUGAAAGACGGUUUUGCUGUCACUUAUAGAUGGAUCCGCGCCGCAUUAGCUAGUUGGUAAGGUAACGGCUUACCAAGGCAACGAUGCGUAGCCGACCUGAGGGGGUGAUCGGCCACACUGGAACUGAGACACGGUCCAGACUCCUACGGGAGGCAGCAGUAGGGAAUCUUCCGCAAUGGGCGAAAGCUUGACGGAGCAACGCCGCGUGAGUGAUGAAGGUCUUCGGAUCGUAAAACUCUGUUAUUAGGGAAGAACAAAUGUGUAAGCAACUAUGCACGUCUUGACGGUACCUAAUCAGAAAGCCACGGCUAACUACGUG